GUAAGGAAUAUUGGUCAAUGGGGGCAACCCUGAACCAGCCAUGCCGCGUGAAGGAUGAAGGCGUUAUGCGUUGUAAACUUCUUUUGUAUGGGAAGAAUGACAGGGAUUUAUCCUUGGAGAGACGGUACCAUACGAAUAAGCACCGGCUAACUCCGUGCCAGCAGCCGCGGUAAUACGGAGGGUGCAAGCGUUAUCCGGAAUCACUGGGUUUAAAGGGUACGUAGGCGGUUAAUUAAGUCAGUAGUGAAAGACUGUCGCUCAACGACGGAUGUGCUAUUGAUACUGGUUAACUUGAAUCAGGUUAGAGUUGGCGGAAUGGGUCAUGUAGCGGUGAAAUGCAUAGAUAUCACGCAGAACUCCGAUUGCGAAGGCAGCUUACUAAGCUACAACUGACACUGAAGCACGAAAGCGUGGGGAUCAAACAGGAUUAGAAACCCCUGUAGUCC
rnacentral:rRNA from 1 species